GGGCGUUAGCUCAGUUGGUAGAGCAGCGGACUCUUAAUCCGUAGGUCAACGGUUCGAAGCCGUU
rnacentral:tRNA from 1 species